GAUGAACGCUGGCGGCGUGCCUAAUACAUGCAAGUCGAACGCAUUGUGGUUGAAAUGAUAUGAAGAACUUGUUCAGAUUUGAUUUUCAACAUUGCAAUGAGUGGCGAACGGGUGAGUAACACGUGGGAAACCUACCUCUUAGCAGGGGAUAACAUUUGGAAACAAAUGCUAAUACCGUAUAAUAAUUAAAACCGCAUGGUUUUAGUUUAAAAGAUGGUCUUGCUAUCACUAAGAGAUGGUCCCGCGGUGUAUUAGUUAGUUGGUGAGGUAAUGGCUCACCAAGACAAUGAUACAUAGCCGAGUUGAGAGACUGACCGGCCACAAUGGGACUGAGACACGGCCCAUACUCCUACGGGAGGCAGCAGUAGGAA
rnacentral:rRNA from 1 species